GUGCUUACUUUGGCAGCACGUAUACUAAAAUUCGAACAAUACAGAGAUUAGUAUGGCCCCUGUGCAAGGAUGACAUUUAAAUUCAUGAGGUAUUCCAUAUUUUC